GUGGACCUUGCAACUAGUUGUAUGGGGUGGACUGAAAUAACUUGCUUUAUAUCCCAUAUUUUGAAACUCUAUCAACAUGUGUUACGUAGACAUUUUUAGGUAUUUGAAGAACUUGGGUUGGAAAUUACAUGACAAGGGUUUAGUUAUCCACUCUAUCAACAUAUGUGUUUGACAUGCCUAUUGGUAAAAUAUGUACUGGAGGUGUUCAACAAAGAAAAAGAAGAUAAAUUCAAAUUGGACUCAUGUUUGACGUCUGUCUUAGUUAUUCACUCUAAUUGGGCUCAGAGAAUAGAACCAGAAAUUAAAGAAAAAAUGGAAAUUAAAUUAUUUUGUUGUAUCUCCUUGUGCUAAGUUCUAAGGAAUAAACAAAUCUGAGUGACACUUAGAUACAACUAGGACCUGGCUGGUGCCUUGAGUCCCUGUAAAACAACUAUUAACCAGGAUAGCUACAUAUCCAAAGUUAUAUAAUUUAAAUUAUAUUUCUACUGUCCAAGCCUGUUGCUUUUGCUUUCUGAUGGUACUGCAUGAGUUUAUGUUUUUGAUUAUUUUGGUUCCCAUACUCCUCAGUCUUGACUUUCGCUGUGUAUUUAGAUUGUUGAAUACCAUCAGAUCUAAAAUUUAAUAUUGAGGCUAGAGUUGGGACAAAGAAACAUAACCAGGGAAGGAAAGUGGCAUGAAUUUAAAAAUUUUAUCUAUUUUUAGGGGCUGGCAUGUACAAGGCUGUGCUUGAAAGGUGCUCUUUUUCAUAUUUGGCCACUGCUAGUAGAGUCACCAAUUUUCUUGUUUCAGGGUAUUGUAAAAUAAUGAAAGUGAAUCCACUGUAUUAUAAUCUAGCACAUGUUUUAUUUAAUCUCAUUAAGUGUUUUCUUUUAAUUUGGUGCUUUUGUUAGCUAGAAACUGCACCUUUUUUAUUUUCAUACACAAAUGCUGUUUUCGAAUUUCUAAUGUAGCUUCUGCUUCGGUUUUUAUAAAUGUCUCUGAACUUUUUCUUCCCGUUAUGUGGUAAUUUUGUAUUUUAGGUUCUUUUCUUUCCUUUUUUUAAUUUUUUUAUUUUGAUUUCUCUCUUGCAAUGCAGGAAAGAUCCCAACCUUCUAGAGAAACGAAUUUGCAGAACUACAGUCCAAGGAAGAUACCUUCGAACUGAUGAUAAUGGUAUGUGUUUCUUUCCUCAAGUUUUUGAUCUCUUGUUGCCCAUGUAUGCUUUAUAUUAUUUUCACUGGGUGCAACAGAAGAGGAGUCCUUUUCGCUCUUAGGCUUCUUGGAGUGGUUAGCGGCCACUUAAGGGUGGGUGAGGGUGCUUGUUUUUUGUGUUCUUGUUUUAGGCUGAUUUGUAUACUCCCUGUAUGCUUUGUGGCCUUUGCCCUUUAAUAUAUUUGUGAUUAUCUAUUAAAAAAAAACAGAAAAUGUAAAUAAAGGAACUAGGGGAAAUCUUUACAAGCAGAAUAUUUGCAUUUACUGCAUCUUUUACUGGCAUUGCCAAGCUCAUGAGUUCCAGAACCUUAAGCUGAAUCCUUUCACAUGUUUAAAUCAUCCUCAUCUACUUAAAAGAAAUAAUCUUUUUAUUUUUAUUUUUAUGAAAUUCUGCAAUAAUAUCUAGUUUAUUGGUUUUCAAGCUUAAAGAUCACAGCCCAUCUCUAAGUGCCUUGGCAAAUUUAAGAAUAGAUUCAGGAAUAGUUUGAAUAGAAAUUUGAAAAUCAUAGCUUGAAUUUGAAACAUGGUUUAAUAUCAGUCGUAAGUGAGAAAAUCAUAAUAACUAUUAUAAUGCAGCUAAAAGAUAGACCUUUUUAUCAAUAUAUUCCUUUGUCGUUUCCUAUAAAAAAAAUAAUAAUAAUAAUAAUGCAGCUGAAAGAUAGAAAUUUUGAGGCCUCAGUUUGCUCAUUUGCUUAGGCAUAACACGGUGUUGAGUUUAAAAUCUCAAUACUAUAGGCAGUGAAGUUCAAUGGGUCUCACCUGUGAAUAUCAUUCCCUGGUCGGCUCACUGAUGUUUUCUAGGGAAUACCUUCACAAUACUGCUGAUGGGAUUUUUGGUUUGCUCUUCCUUUAUAUACAGAUAAUCCACAACUUGGGUUAGACGUAGAUAUGAGAGUUAUACAUAUGUGAGUGAACUUAAGGUGGAUUAGGUUUCUGGUGAUCCACUUAGGAAAUAUAGGCCCUUUCAUCCUCUGCAUCUAUCAGACUAUAACUUAUCAAUAGGAUAUUUUGUAAUGUUUUACCAAUUGAUAUUAAUGCCACCUCCCUCAGAUUUUGAAAAUGAAAUCCCUUUUCCUUGUGUUUAUUAUGGUUGCAAUUGGCUUCUGACUUUGAACUUUGGGAUUUGGCCAUCCAAUUGAGUACACCUUCUGGUUUGAGUUGUGCUGGAAGUUCUUUAUUAUAUAUAAAUACAUGCCAACACUGCCAGAGUUUGCUACUGUGCCUAUAUCUAUGGAAGGCUCCAUUUCUUUCCAUUUAUACUGCUUCCAGAACUAGUUUUUCCUAUUGUAGGCCAUGUGUGUGAUGCUCUAUCGAUGGACCCACAGUCUGGAUGCUGCUUUGGAAAGAGAGAGCAAUUCUCUUGUCAGUGAGUUAUCUCUAAAAUGGAUUCUGAUAAAAUAAAUAAAAAAUAAAAAAUCUUUAAAUGGGUGCUCCUGAGUUCUCGCUUUGUGCAGAAAUAUUUGAUAGUUGUUAACAGUCUUUUUUCUUCCUUGCAGUGGAUGCAACCUCAUUUCACAGUGUUGCAAUUCUUAUGAAUUUUGUGUUUCAUGCUGCCUGAAUCCAGCACGGGUAUUUCAUUAUGGAUCAAUUUCUUUCACUCUCUCUCUCUCUCUCUCUCACACACACACACCCUUCUUACUCAGAAUGAUAAAAUUUGAAAUGUGCUUUCAUGAUGGAAUAGACUCAAAAGGAAUUAGCACUUAAGGUGAAGAUGGCCAAGCCAGUAACUGCAGGUAAAAUUUUACUUUGUAGUAGAAACCUUGCAUGUUUAGUAAAGACACAUUUGUAAAGUCAUCCAUUUGUGGGUUUGUAACUGUCAUUGUAGAUCUCAUAGAGGGUAUCUUUGAGGUAAAAUUUAACCGGAUUAGAUCAUGUUCCUACCUGAACAAGCCAGUGAAAAUUUGACAUUUUCCAAGUGAUGUUGAGAAUUUGGAUGGUAAUGUUAAUCUUCAAUGAUGGCUGUUUAUUGCCUGUAUGUGUUUGAGUAUGAAAUAAGUGAAGUGGGAAGCCUAGGCUGCCUCUAUAGUAUAUUUUUUUCCUGCAGAUGGAACUUUUUAUGGAUGACACAUCCAUCAUUCUUCUGGCAGGGGCUUAUGCAAGUGUUUUUGAUUUCUGUACUGGGAGGUGCCGUCAUAAUUCUGAGAGUGUGGUAUGUAAUCAUCCCAUUGUUCCUGUUGUAUUUGUUCAUCAGUGAAGGUGGUUAAUGACUGUCUGCAACUUGUGCUCAAUAAAUUUUAUUUCAUGCUAUAAUUUGAAUUGUGUAUGAACAAAUUUUGGGCAUGCUGAGGGUCAUGAAUGGAGAAAUUUGGGAUCUUAAACCUAAUUUAGAUUCCCGUUUUACAUGGUAUAUGAAGGAGCAUGGGCCUUGGCCCUCUUUCUUUUAAACAUCAACCCCUGGUCCUUUGAAACAUAAUCAUGAACAAAAAAAUACCAGCACCAUCACUACCACCACCACUAACAACAACAAUAAUAAUGCUAAUAAUAUGUAGCACACUGAUUAUGUUGCAAAUCAGUUUGUUAUGUUUUGUGCAUUAUCAUCUGAACUAAGUUUGAACCUUUCAGGUACAUGAAAAUGCUUAUCUUAGCGAUUUCCAUCACUGCUUUUCUCUGCCAUCAAAUUCUACAGGUGUGUCCAGAUAUAUCAUGGUACUUAGAAAAUAUGUUGACUGCUUGAUUUGAACCAUUAUUAGUUAAUCCACUGAGAUAUUGGUGACUGGCUAAUUUUUUUUUUCUUUUUUAGUCACAAACUUACAUUAGUAACCACUGUUAUGCAAUGUUGACUCCUUUUGAACCAUGUCAGUUAAUCCACUAAGAUCAUGUUCACUACCUAUUUUUAUUAGUUACAGAUUCACAUUAUAUAACUACAGUGUACUGCUUUGUUAGUGUGAUGCCCAUAAAAGACAUGUUAAACAAGACACAUUAAAAUUAUUAUAUUAAGAAACAAUGUAACUUGAGUAUUUAUAGCUAUGGUGGUUUUUUUUUUUUUUUCCUUUUUUCUUUUUCUUUUGCUCUCUCUCUUCCCAUUGGAUUGUUUUUUUUUUUUUGGGGGGGGGGGGGAUGUGGUAGGGGGUGAUUUGGUCUCUAAAAUCUAGAGAGUUUUUUGGGUUUAUUUGGCCAGAGAGAAUAGUGAAGCUUAAAUGGUGGGUCACUGGAUCCAAGUGAAUACAAUGGAAUGAUGGCAUCAUGGAUUUGUCAGAAUUCCUUGGUUUGGUGGGUUCUACUCCUUUUGGAUUAUAUUUAGAGGGUUGGAGCUGUAUUCAAGUAGGGAUGAUGUUCCAGUUUGGUUACUAUCAACAGGAAAAAAUUUCUCAGCCAAAUUGGUUUCCCAGCCAAAUAAUUUGGAUUCCAGAGUUCCUAUUAUGGUGCCAUUGUUUGUGUGGAAAGCAAGUUGGGCAAAAUGUCACAUGUGGAAAGGAAUGGGGAUAGUGUGGACCAUCUUUUGAUUCAUUGUCUGAUGACAGGGGAGGCAUGGUCUUUGAUUCCUAACUCUUGGAAUGGGCUUUUUCUGAAGAUAGUGAAGCAAUUGAUGGCUAGCAUGCAUGGUAAGUUUGUGGGGGAGGAAGAGAAGGAAUGCAUAGUCAGCAGUUCCUUUAUUCAUAGCCUGGGAUUAUGGCAUGAGCAAAAAAUAGACAAACCUUUGAGGCUGUUGAAGUCCUUGGGAAGAACUCCAACGAAAUUAUCUUGACACCUGUUCUGUUUGGAUCCAUGUCCUUAUGGCUUUUUUUGGGAUUUUAUUGAUGAGAUGACUGGGGAAUAACUUGUGGAGCUGACCGGGGAGAGCUUUCUGCACCUUUGGGGUUUUUUGGUGUGUCUGAUGUAGUUUCUAGUACCCUUUCUCGGACUUUGAAUGAAAAUAUAUUUGUUACAGAUGGGUUCACUUCUCUAUUUAUUCAUAGGUGCCCCCUCCUGUUGACAGGACAAAAACUCUAUUUUGCAUUGUCAAACCAAUGAUGAUAGGUGUUGCUGAACUGAACUGAUAGUGAUGGGUUUGGUUCAGAAAAUUACCUCACUCCAUGCAAGUUUAAGAGAGAUAAAGAAAAUAAGAUGGUUCAUAAAAUUACCUCACUCCAUGUAAAUUUCAGAGAGAUUGAGGCAAUAAAAUGAACAAGCUACAAACCAGACUAAGACCUGGUGGAAUUUGCAUCUUCAAAAGCAAGAAGAAAUUUAGUCACACUUGCAUCUUCUAAUUGUAGAGGGAGAUUCUGCCAUUGCAAUAUCUUGGGUGAAUAAAAAGGAAAAGGGUUCAUGGAAGUUUGACAACUGGAUGUGCAGAAUCAUAGAUACUGUAAAUGAGUAGGGUUGUUCUUUUUCUUGGAUUCCUCGUUUGGCUAACCAGGUUGCAGAUGUUAGCCAGGUUGCAGAUCAUUAAUGGAAAUUUUUUGAUAUAGUGAGUAGUAAUAGCUAUGGUUGUUUGUUGUUCAAGAAUUCUUGUUUAGGCAAUUCAUACCAUACAUAGUGUUUUGAUCUAAAGUUUCAAUUCUUCCAUGUUUCAGCAGUAGCAUAUUGUUCCAUAGAGCUAAGGUCCAAAAUAUGGAAGAAACAAGUGUUUCCACGGCUCUACCACACUGACAGUUCUGUUCCACUUAAUCCCUAUUUCAUGGCCACAUAUCUUUUUGGCUAAGGUGUGAGAAAUUAUCCUGUUACAUGAAUCCAAUUUUCAUUUCAUCUAGGAAAAGCCAUCUCUUUGUCAUUUGAUACAAUAGUCUUGCGUUAGAUAGGAACAAAUUUGAUAAAUACUGAUAACUCUUGGAUGGAGUAUUAGAACAGAAAGAUCCAUUAGAUACUGAACUAUUGGAGGAGCACAGCAUAUGACCUCCUUUGUUGGAGAUUUCCUUCCCCCUUGAGUGUCCAAUGAUUGUUCUCCUGUAUAUAUGUGGGUUUUUAUGAGAAGGGGCUAGUUUUUGUGGUUCUAAUUCUGUGUUACUUUCUUCCAUAGUUUUUUACACCUUUGAAGGAUUGGUUAUCUUUCUUGUCUUUAUCAAUUGAUUGAUGAGUGAAAAUGUUUGUUUCUGAUUAAUUGAAAAAUAAAAGAAACUUAGUCACACGGAGAACCUAUUUUCUUAUUUAUUAAUUCUUUGAUUUCACUUUACCUUUAUUAAUGCUUUGUUAAACUCUAGAAGCAAUUGGAAAUUAAAAUGAAAAUCAUCUUCCUAUCUGUUUUAGCAACCUUUGAGAUUCAGUACUUGAAUUACAAUCCUCAAAAGGAUCUGAAAAUCACUAAAUCAAAUCAUGCCUAAGGGUAGGUCUGAAAUUGUGAAAGUAUGGGGUUUAUUUAAGUUGAUGAAGUACCUAUCACACUGUGAUGUUGUCCGCAUUCUCAGAUUCAUUAUAUAAUUGGGUCUCUGAUUACUUGCAAGGCUGAGAUGUUAUUCCAUGUGACCCAUAUCAUCCUAUCAAGCAUGAGAGGGUUAUGCCAAAGAUGGUAUGUGCUCCACAAGGAAGUCCUCGGAAAUGCAGUGCCAUUACCAUGUAGAUAGCAUUUCUAUAUUUCAUUCUGCUGCUCUUUACAAAGUCUCACUCUAAUUUUGGACAUAAGGAUUUGUGUCUGAUUGGAUUCAGUUCAGUAUUAUAAAUGACACUAAUUUUGCAUGUUUAAAUAUCUGCUACAGCUGGGGGUGUUGAUAGAAACCCAGAAUUAAGAUUGAAUGGCAUUCAUGUUGUUGUUGGAAGGUGAGUUAUCAUGGAAAUCUUUUCUGUUUUGUCACUUUUAUAUUUUAAACUUCUGGCAGUUGGUUAUUUUCUCAACUUCUUAUACAUGGGAAACAGGCAAGGAGAGUCAUGUGACUCCGUUUGCAAAUCAAAUGGGCAAUCAUGUGUUCCAAGCAAGCUCUCGGUGCUUAAUCAAUGCGAAAUGUGAGCUCGAUUUUUUAGACACUAUAUUUUCUUGUCUUUAUUUAUUUAAUCAUAUUUCUUUUGUAGUUUGUAAUUGAAAUAUCUCCUUAGUAAAAUAUUUUUCUUUUUAAUAGGCUUCAUGCAAUUAUUUGGAAUUAGGUUAUUUAUCUUCUUGAUGAAAAGUUAACAAGUUCUCUGGAAGCAUACUUGUGCUGGGUUUAUGCUGUAAAUUAGGCAAUUUUUUGCUGCUUUCCAUGCAAUUUAAUUGCUAACAGAUGCAUGCUUGCUUUCUGAGUUCUGGAUAUGCUUAGCUUGGGAGCACACUGAUGUAGGACAACCCUAGGAUGGUUGCCUACACUCAAGGGUAGGUGGGCUAGGGUUUUACUUUUAGGGUGUAAGGAGAGGAACAAAGAAUAAAUUUGAUGGUAGAGAAAAUUAUAAGAUAAGAAAUAGAGAGAAAAAAGAAACAAUGAAGAAAAGAUGGAAAACCUUAGAGUCUCACUAAGGCCUUCUAGGAGUCUCACCUAGAAGAAAAUCAAUGGAGUCUCAUUGCAACCUUGCAAUGAAAGAAAGUAUAAUAUUAUUUAUCAAAUUCAUCCCUUUGAUUUACAUUGAUUAGCCUAUUUAUAGGCUUCUCUAAGAAAUCCAAAGUCUACUAGGACUCUAAUAACCUAUUAUGAUUCUAAUUCUAAUUAUAACAUCCAAAGUCUAUUAGGACUCUUCAAAUUCUAAUUAUAUUAUAACUCAACUAGCUAAUCCUAAUUAGACUCCAACAAAUACCAAUCCCAAUUCAAUUCUAAUUAAUAGUAAUCCUACUUAAAGUUUACUUAGGUCUUCACUUUCUUCCUUGAAUAAACUUUAAAAGGCUUUCCCCCAUCACACACUUUUUUCUUUCCUUAUUUCCCCUUUUCUCGGGGUGGAGAGGGCUGGAGGUUGGGGGCAGUUGGAGAAGCAAUGCUGCAUUUGCUGAACUGCUUCACCAAACAAACUCUCCAACAAUAGACAUCACAUAAUGCCUUUGAUUUACAAAAUCAAAUAAUAUGCUUGUAAGUCUGUCAGAGAACCAUUUAAAAGAUCUAUACAUUCUCUUAAUGUAGGGAUAUAUGGGAGAUUAAGAGCAAUGGUUCUCAAGUGGCAGUACUUACCUGUGAAUAAUACAAUAUUCAUUGCUGAAAAGUUUUUGGAGACAUUGCAGGAUCGCUUAUUUGGAAAUUUCAUCAUGGAGAUAUUGUGAUAUAACUUGCAUUUGAAUUUUUUGAGAUUAUUCUUCUUACUUCUCACAACAUCAUAUUCUUUUACAAAUUUUAAAAUUCCUUGUAUCAUAUAUAGUAUGCAGAAAUAUAUGAGCUGCAAAGGAGCAUGUUUGGCAAGCAUUGGAGCUGAUCAACCUGCUGAAGUCGUUGAUGAUGCCCCUAGACAUCUGGUAUGCUUGCUUGCUUGUGCAUUUGUUUUUUUGUUGUCAACACCUGUUCUUUGGAAUUUAUCUUACUGGUCCUUGGGUGGUUCAUGAAAAUAAAAUUAUAAGUUGCAAUAGCUUGUUGAAAUUAAGUAGUGCCUCUGAGCAUUACUGUCAAAGGCUUAGUCACACUAUGGUGGUAUUUUCACCAUUAAAGAAAUCUAGUAUUGCCAGGAGGAUUUUUUUUUUCUUCUUUUUUUGGACUGCAAAUGACAGGUUUUAUCGUUCUCUUCUUAUUCUUUUUAAUUUAUGAUCUUAUACAUGGAAAAAAAAUGAAGUUACUAGUAAAUUGAGACUAUGCUGAAACUGUAUAGGAACGCUAUGGUGUUUUAACUUGUGCAAUACCAAUGUGUAUGGAAGAAAUGGUUAUUAUCAUGCACAAAUCAGGGCAUCAUAUAUGCAUCAAACCAAGGAUUAUACUGCAAACUAAUUAGAUCUAUUGACAGAGAAUGGUCUUUGGACAGUGUUACUAAUCAGAGAGUGACUAUAGAACACAUUCUCCAGCAUGGAGAUUUGCUGACUCUUCUAUUUUCUAUCUUAGAGAAGUUUCAUGGAAUUGAGGGACAAAUGAUGAUAUCAUAUUUUUAGAAGUAGCUCCUACAUGCACAAUUUUAGCGGUAUCUUUUUGAACCUUUGUUUUAAGAAUCCAGGAGCAUAAGCAUAAAACUUAGGCUUUUGAUAUUUGAGAAACAUAGGUGCUGGAAAUGAUAGUUGGGAACCCCGGGGAAAUUGUUGGCAGUACAUUGAUGUAGGUAGCUUUUGAUGAGAAUUCUACAUUUGCAAAAUGAUGAUACGUGGAUUAGGUAAUACCACUUUUUUUUAUGUUUUUUUUGGGUAAAACUAAUGUUGAACAAAUUCCUUGUUUUUAUAGUUUCCCAUUAUUAUUUUAACAAUGACAUGGAACAGCAUGGAUGCAUUUCUUUUCCUAACUUUGUCCCCAAGGAAGCAAAUGUAAAUGAGACAAUAAACCAGAGCAUUACCAUAUUUAACUUUUUUAGAAUCAAGAAGAUAAAUUGUAAUUGAUCAAAUGUGGGCAAUGCUUCCAUAUCAAUUUUCGUCUUAAUGUUUUGAGGAAAAUUUUCAUUCAACUUUGUGUAUGAUUUGUUUGCCUUAUGCUUUUCAGAAUCCUGGAGCAUGCUUGUACACUCGAACACAGACAAUUCUUUCUUGUGAUGGUUCACAUCAACAUACAAGGAGACUAUGCCCCUGUGCAUAGUUUAUUAACUUGGUGAGUUUUUCAUUCUUAACAUGGGUUCCAAGUUCAGUCUCAAAAGGUAAAAGUCAAGAUGAAAAUCUCAAGAAACCCCCAUGUCAACUUUUGGAACUUUUGUGAUAUACAUUCUAUUAAUACAUCUUGCAAAUAGAAUUCCAUGGGCCUCUUCUUUUUCCUAACAUAGUCAAGACCAAAAAUUCAAAACGUCAUUAGAUCUAAGAUCCUUUUUCUUUUCAUGAAUCACAUUGAUUUAAAAUGACUUGGUUUUUAUCUGCUGUUAUUAGCAUUUCAUGCCAGCCAUAGCUUUCAACUUACUGUUUCCUUGGAAUCAUGCUAUUUAACUUAUGGGUGGCUUCCUCAAUAACCAAUACUGUCAGCAUAAUGAAGCCAUUAAAGUUGGAGGAUCUUUAGAUUUCUACAAUGACCAAUAUAUUGUAUUCCAUGCAAUGCUCACACAUCUGUAUCUAUUUGGCCUUUGUUUGAGAAUGACAGCCAAGCAUAUACUUUAGCUCCUUGUGUGUGCCCUGAACCCUUAAAACAGGGACCAUACCUAUCUAACAUUUAGUUUAUGUGCAGGAAAUGCCACCAACAGGCAUGGACAGCCAUGGAGGUUUUUCGUAAUCGGCUCUUGUUGACAUAGUCACUGACGAAACAAUAACAAAACAGAGGAGAAUGUUACAUGAACUCUUAUGUAAUUAGUUUUGUUAAUACUGCACUGAAACAGGCAGAAAUGUUACAUGGACUCGUGCUUAUGUAAUUAAUUUUGUUUCAAUGCUCCUGAAUGAUGAGAAUUUCCAUUUCAGUAUAGAAUACCCUUUUUUAGAUUAGGUAAUUGUUAACUUUUUGUGAAGUGAUUCUUUGAAAAGAUACUGUAGAGCAAGGUUUUCAAUUAAUAAGUUAAAAGAAAAAAAUUAAACUCUAAACUGUCCUGAAAAUUCUCAUUGAAAAGAGCCUCAAAUGUCAAAUUUUUUACUUUUAAUGUUUCAAUUAUAAUAGAACUUUUUGGAAAAACCAAAACACUUGAAAGGUUGAGCCAAAUGGGAAUCCCAAAGAGUUUCAUAUUCAGAACUCAUUUAUUUUGACUAAUAAUCUACACUUUCUGAACUCUUCAUCUGCUUGGAGAGGAAAGGCUGGGGAAAAUGAUGGGUUUCAGAGCAGUGGUCAUUGUCAUUAAAAAAUCACUGAAUAUACCCAGCGAUCUUUUUGGUAUGAAGCCAAACAGUAUUGACAAAACAAGUCAUUUGAAUGCCUCCAAAUUGCCAUUAAUUAGCAUUAUUCCAUUCAGAUUCCCAGCAAGCCGAAAGCAUGAAAUGGCAUGUAAGACAAUCAAAAAGACAAAAGGUGAGGCUUUUCCCUGCUUAUGGUAGAGACCUUUCUCACAUUCUCUCUCUUUUGUUUUGAAAAAAAAAUUGUUUAAAGGGAAAACAGUUUAACAUUUGGGAAAUGAAAAUGGAAUGGAAUCCAAUGCAAAAGGGGCAAGAACUUGUAAGGGAAAAAUGAAAAACUAUUCCAAUCAAUUAACCACCUUCAAGUUUUCAAUACAUGUAAUUGAUAAGGAAGCAAACAUUCCAAUCCAGCUCUGUGUAUGCUUUAUAUGCCAAUAUUUAAAAGCUGUAGUCUGGCUUGAAGACACUCUUGCUCAAUGGCUUUGACCCAUCUCUUAAAACCCCCAACCCACCAUUAACACUACCUUUCUCUUCUGCAACUUCCUCUUCUUCCUCCUCAUUUCCCUGAAAGGCUGGGUGGCCGAGAAGGCAGUUGAGUAGUUGUGUCCCCCUAAGUGCAUUUGUCAAUGGCAAGUGACCCUCAGGGGUGUCAUCAGUGAGCUCCCACAUGAACUCAGUGGGAAAGGCCCUGUAGUUGUACUGCUCAACUUCUGUAUCAAGCUUCUUCAUCCACCCAACCUUGAGGAAAAACCUGCUGAAGUCCUUGUUCACCUUCUCCCAUAUUCUCCUCUGCACACUGUACCCAAACUUGUUGUUGCUGUGCUGCCUCCACAGCUCAUCAAUGGCCUUGAGAUCAGCCUCUGGUAUGAACUGCACCUCAGAGAAGAACACAUACCCUCUCUUCACUGCUGCCUCGCCUGCCAACACUAUCAGCAGCCUCCUGGUUUCUUCAUCUGCUUGCCUAUAAUUCUUGGAGGAGAGGUGUUGUUGGAGCACAUCAUAGGAAAUGGCUUGGGAGGUUGAGGGUGUUGUGGAGGAGGUGGUGGAAGAAAGAGCAAAAGGGGUUGUUGUUGUGGCUGUUGGUGGGGUUGUGAGUGUGUGAGACAGGUUGGUUGUGUUUGUAUUGGUGGUGGGUUUGAGGAAGAGUGAAGAGAAUGUCGAUGGGUGUGACUCAAUGGAGUGGUGGUGGUAGUGCUUGAGGAGGUGGUGGUGGUUGCUGAGGGAUUGGAGUGAGUUGGUUGCCAUUUGUGAGUGGAGAUGGUGGUGAGUUUAGGAGGGCAUUAUUUGAGUGCAAAGGGAGAUGGGGGUUGUUUGGGAGAUAAGAAAUGGGUGAAGAGGGAAAGUGGGGUUCA
rnacentral:lncRNA from 1 species